AGGCUUGUAAAAUUUCCAAGGCCAUUUUCUUCCAAGGAUUGAAGAGACUGCUCCAAAGCUUCAAUCCAGCUGGCCUCCAUUACUGGAAAAAAAGUAUAGACCUACAGUUUGUCAAUGAAAGAAAUAAACAGCGGUGAAAAUAA